UAGACUCCAGGUGCAGGAAGGUUCUGGUGCUGGAAGCUUCCUAGAGGACUGGUCUCUAUCCCCUUCCCAGAGAUAGAGCAGACUGAAGACU
rnacentral:lncRNA from 1 species